rnacentral:rRNA from 1 species
CUGCUGCCUCCCGUAGGAGUUUGGGCCGUGUCUCAGUCCCAAUGUGGCCGAUCAACCUCUCAGUUCGGCUACGCAUCAUUGCCUUGGUAAGCCUUUACCCCACCAACUAGCUAAUGCGCCGCGGGCCCAUCCAAAAGCGGUAGCAUAGCCACCUUUUACAUAGCUACCAUGCGGUAACUAUGGUUAUGCGGUAUUAGCACCUGUUUCCAAGUGUUAUCCCCCUNUUUUGGGCAGGUUGCCCACGUGUUACUCACCCGUUCG